rnacentral:rRNA from 1 species
UACGGAGGGAGCAAACGUUGCUCGGAAUCAUUGGGCGUAAAGCGCACGUAGGCGGUCCGGUAAGUCGGAUGUGAAAGCCCUCGGCUCAACCGAGGAAGUGCAUUCGAAACUGCCGGACUUGCGUACGGGAGAGGGAUGCGGAAUUCCCGGUGUAGAAGUGAAAUUCGUAGAUAUCGGGAGGAACACCAGUGGCGAAGGCGGCAUCCUGGACCGAUACUGACGCUGAGGUGCGAAAGCGUGGGGAACAAACAGG